UUUUUAUUUUUCCCCACAUAAUCACCUAUAAAAAUAUACUAAAACAAAUGUCACCUUAGGCUUGGUGAUUAUCGUAAAUAAAAACCUCGACUUUGUCUCGCUUUUUAUUCAUCGAUAAUCACCACGCGUUCGGCGAAUAAUUGUUAAAUGUAGGGGUGGAAGUACAAGAACAGAUCAUUCUUGACGCCAAAGAAAUAGAUAAAAAAUUCAUGGAAAGUGGAAUGGUGGGAGUGCAGCAUAUCAUGAAGGAAAAACUGGGGCGAUGGAAAGAAGUUACUGUAAACCUCGCCAUACUUGGAAAUUCUGGAGUUGGCAAAUCAAGUUUUAUUAAUGCCAUAAGAGG